UACGAAGGGGGCUAGCGUUGCUCGGAAUCACUGGGCGUAAAGCGCACGCAGGCGGCUUUCUAAGUCAGGGGUGAAAUCCUGGAGCUCAACUCCAGAACUGCCUUUGAUACUGGAGAGCUCGAGUCCGGAAGAGGUGAGUGGAACUCCGAGUGUAGAGGUGAAAUUCGUAGAUAUUCGGAAGAACACCAGUGGCGAAGGCGGCUCACUGGUCCGGUACUGACGCUGAUGUGCGAAAGCGUGGGGAGCAAACAGGG
rnacentral:rRNA from 1 species